rnacentral:rRNA from 1 species
AUUGAACGCUAGCGGGAUGAUUUACAGAUGCAAGUCGAAAGAGUGGCGGACGGGUGGAUAAUAUAACGGAACGUGCACAGUAGAGGGGGAUAACUUCGCGAAAGAGGGGCUAAUACCGCAUACAAUUGGAACGGCCGAUAUCGGAUGAUCUAGUUGGUGGGGUAAAGGCUCACCAAUGAACCGAUCAGUAGCUGGUUUGAGAGGAUGACCAGCCACCCUGGGACUGAGACACGGCCCAUACUCCUACGGGAGGCAGCAGGGGGGAAUUUUGGACAAUGGGGGAAACCCUGAUCCAGCCAUCCCGCGUGUAUGAGAAGGCCUUCGGGUUGUAAAGUACUUUUGGCAGAGAAGCGGUAUCUGCAGAAUAAGCACCGGCUAACUACGUGCCAGCAGCCGCGGUAAUAC